rnacentral:rRNA from 1 species
UACGGGGGGGGCAAGCGUUGUUCGGAAUUACUGGGCGUAAAGGGCUCGUAGGCGGCCAACUAAGUCGGAUGUGAAAUCCCCAGGCUCAACCUGGGAACUGCAUCCGAUACUGGCAGGCUUGAAUCCGGGAGAGGGAUGUGGAAUUCCAGGUGUAGCGGUGAAAUGCGUAGAUAUCUGGAGGAACACCGGUGGCGAAGGCGGCAUCCUGGACCGGCAUUGACGCUGAGGCGCGAAAGCCAGGGGAGCAAACGGG